rnacentral:piRNA from 1 species
UGGUCUGUAAAACAAUAAACACCUGUG